GCCAGGAUUGCAUUGCGCCAGGAUAUAUUACUUCCAAACGCAGCCAAGAUUUCUUCAAGCGUCAAUCCUGGCCAAGUCAGGAUGUAUUUCUUCAAACGCAGCCAAGAUUUCUUCAAGCGUCAAUCCUGGCCUUGCGCCAGGAUGUAUGACUUCCAAACGCAGUCAUGAUUUAUUCAAGCGUCAAUCCUGGACAAGUCAUGAUGUAUUUCUUCAAACGCAGUCAAGAUUUGAAGUCAUGAUUGCAUUGCGCCAGGAUGUAUGACUUCCAAACACAGUCAUGAUUCGCUUUUGUAUGAUAAUAUGUAAGCGCUUCCCUAACACUGAAAAACCGCUAAAAUGUGUAUUGGGUUUCCAGCCUUCCCGUUCAUCUCAGCUGGCAAGUAAGUACCAAGUAACAGCUAGUGAUUUGUGUGUACUGAACCAUCAACAUAUUAAACUGUCCAAGACUGGUGAUAGAUAUGUAGUAUUUUAGAUUGACGCAUGCUGACUGGGG